GACGAACGCUGGCGGCGUGCUUAACACAUGCAAGUCGAACGGAAAGGCCCUGCUUUUGUGGGGUGCUCGAGUGGCGAACGGGUGAGUAACACGUGAGUAACCUGCCCUUGACUUUGGGAUAACUUCAGGAAACUGGGGCUAAUACCGGAUAGGAGCUCCUGCUGCAUGGUGGGGGUUGGAAAGUUUCGGCGGUUGGGGAUGGACUCGCGGCUUAUCAGCUUUUUGGUGGGGUAGUGGCUUACCAAGGCUUUGACGGGUAGCCGGCCUGAGAGGGUGACCGGCCACAUUGGGACUGAGAUACGGCCAAGACUCCUACGGGAGGCAGCAGUGGGGAAUAUUGCACAAUGGGCGGAAGCCUGAUGCAGCAACGCCGCGUGCGGGAUGACGGCCUUCGGGUUGUAAACCGCUUUCGCCUGUGACGAAGCGUGAGUGACGGUAAUGGGUAAAGAAGCACCGGCUAACUACGUG
rnacentral:rRNA from 1 species